rnacentral:rRNA from 1 species
CAGACCUCUAAUCGGAAAAGACUACCCGCUGAGUUUAAGCAUAUCAAUAAACCGGAAGAAA